rnacentral:rRNA from 1 species
AAUAGAUACCCACGGUAGUCCACGCCGUAAACGAUGAGUGCUAAGUGUUAGGGGGUUUCCGCCCCUUAGUGCUGCAGCUAACGCAUUAAGCACUCCGCCUGGGGAGUACGGUCGCAAGACUGAAACUCAAAGGAAUUGACGGGGGCCCGCACAAGCGGUGGAGCAUGUGGUUUAAUUCGAAGCAACACGAAGAACCUUACCAGGUCUUGACAUCCCAUUGACCGCUAUGGAGACAUAGUUUUCCCUUCGGGGACAGUGGUGACAGGUGGUGCAUGGUUGUCGUCAGCUCGUGUCGUGAGAUGUUGGGUUAAGUCCCGCAACGAGCGCAACCCUUGUUCUUAGUUGCCAUCAUUUAGUUGGGCACUCUAAGGGAGACUGCCGGUGACAAACCGGGAGGAAGGUGGGGAUGACGUCAAAUCAUCAUGCCCCCUUUAUGACCUGGGCUACACACGUGCUACAAUGGACGGUACAAACGGUUGCCAACCCGCGGAGGGGGAGCUAAUCCGAUAAACCGUUCUCAGUUCGGAUUGUAGGCUGCACUCGCCUAC